CAAAAUGUUGGUGAAUCUCAAUCUACCGCAACAAAGGUUCAGUUAGCAGCCUGAAGUAGGGUCUCGACCUGAAACGUCACCCAUUCCUUCUCUCCAGAGAUGCUGCCUGUCCCGCUGAGUUACUCCAGCUUUUCGUGU